rnacentral:rRNA from 1 species
AUAGCGGAGGAAAAGAAACCAACAGGGAUUGCCCUAGUAACGGCGAGUGAAGCGGCAACAGCUCAAAUUUGAAAGCUAGCCUUCGGGUUCGCAUUGUAAUUUGUAGAGGAUGAUUUGGGGAAGCCGCCUGUCUAAGUUCCUUGGAACAGGACGUCAUAGAGGGUGAGAAUCCCGUAUGUGACAGGAAAUGGCACCCUAUGUAAAUCUCCUUCGACGAGUCGAGUUGUUUGGGAAUGCAGCUCUAAAUGGGAGGUAAAUUUCUUCUAAAGCUAAAUAUUGGCGAGAGACCGAUAGCGCACAAGUAGAGUGAUCGAAAGAUGAAAAGCACUUUGGAAAGAGAGUUAAAAAGCACGUGAAAUUGUUGAAAGGGAAGCGCUUGCAAUCAGACUUGUUUAAACUGUUCGGCCGGUCUUCUGACCGGUUUACUCAGUUUGGACAGGCCAGCAUCAGUUUCGGCGGCCGGAUAAAGGCUCUGGGAAUGUGGCCUCCACUUCGGUGGAGGUGUUAUAGCCCGGGGUGUAAUACGGCCAGCCGGGACUGAGGUCCGCGCUUCGGCUAGGAUGCUGGCGUAAUGGUUGUAAGCGACCCGUCUUGAAACACGGACCA